UGAGGAAUAUUGCGCAAUGGGGGAAACCCUGACGCAGCAACGCCGCGUGGGUGAAGAAGGCCUUCGGGUCGUAAAGCCCUUUCGGACGGGACGAAAGUUCCGCGGGGAUAAUCCGCGGAGCCUGACGGUACCGUAGGAAGAAGCACCGGCUAACUCCGUGCCAGCAGCCGCGGUAAUACGGAGGGUGCAAGCGUUGUUCGGAAUUACUGGGCGUAAAGCGCGUGUAGGCGGCCUUGUAAGUCAGAUGUGAAAGCCCUCGGCUCAACCGGGGAAGUGCAUCUGAAACGGCAAGGCUUGAGUACGGGAGAGGGAGGCGGAAUUCCCAGUGUAGAGGUGAAAUUCGUAGAUAUUGGGAGGAACACCGGUGGCGAAAGCGGCCUCCUGGACCGAUACUGACGCUGAGACGCGAAAGCGUGGGGAGCAAACAGGAUUAGAUACCCUGGUAGUCCACGCGGUAAACGAUGGGCACUAGGUGUGGGGGGUAUCCACUCCUCCCGUGCCGCAGCUAACGCAUUAAGUGCCCCGCCUGGGGAGUACGGCCGCAAGGCUA
rnacentral:rRNA from 1 species